rnacentral:lncRNA from 1 species
UUAUGGUGUGGAUAUUCCAAACAGAACGGGAACCAAGUGGUUUUUGGUUCAGAGUCAAUGUUACUAUUAUAUUUCAUUGUGUUUGUUCAUUUUAUUUCUUUUGCUUUAUUAUUAUUUUUUUAUAGCUCGGGUUUUUCUUUGUUAUUCUUGUUUUUCAACCGAGUGCCCUUCUUUGGCCAAUACUUCUUUUGAAUCCUCGAAUUUAU